rnacentral:rRNA from 1 species
UGGGGAAUAUUGCACAAUGGGGGAAACCCUGAUGCAGCAACGCCGCGUGAAGGAAGACGGUUUUCGGAUUGUAAACUUCUAUCAAUAGGGACGAAGAAAGUGACGGUACCUAAAUAAGAAGCCCCGGCUAACUACGUGCCAGCAGCCGCGGUAAUACGUAGGGGGCAAGCGUUAUCCGGAAUUACUGGGUGUAAAGGGUGAGUAGGCGGAAAGGCAAGUCUGAUGUGAAAGCCCGGGGCUCAACCCCGGGACUGCAUUGGAAAUGUCUAUCUAGAGUACAGGAGGGGUGAGCGGAAUUCCUAGUGUAGCGGUGAAAUGCGCAGAUAUUAGGAAGAACACCGGCGGCGAAGGCGGCUCACUGGACUGUAACUGACGUUGAGGCUCGAAAGCGUGGGUAGCAAACAGGAUUAGAUACCCUGGUA